GAGAGGCCCAAACGUUAUUCGGAUUUACUGGGCUUAAAGAGUUCGUAGGCGGCGCAGAAAGUAGGGUGUGAAAGCCCUCGGCUCAACCGAGGAAUUGCGCCCUAAACUACUGUGCUUGAGGAAGCUAGAGGUGAGCAGAACAGAUGGUGGAGCGGUGAAAUGCGUUGAUAUCAUCUGGAAUACCGGAGGCGAAGGCGGCUCACUGGGGCUUUUCUGACGCUGAGGAACGAAAGCCAGGGUAGCGAACGGGAUUAGAUACCCCGGUAGUCCUGGCCGUAAACGAUGAGCACUGGGCCGGAGGACUGCACAGUUUUCCGGCCGUAGCGAAAGUGUUAAGUGCUCCGCCUGGGGAGUAUGGUCGCAAGGCUG
rnacentral:rRNA from 1 species